rnacentral:rRNA from 1 species
UACGUAGGGGGCAAGCGUUGUCCGGAAUUAUUGGGCGUAAAGAGCGCGUAGGCGGUCCGAUAAGUCGGCUGUGAAAGUCAGGGGCUCAACCCUUGAAAGCCGGCCGAUACUGUCGGACUAGAGUCCGGAAGAGGCAAGUGGAAUUCCCGGUGUAGCGGUGAAAUGCGUAGAGAUCCGGAAGAACACCGGUGGCGAAGGCGGCCUGCUGGGCAGUUGCUGACACUGAGGCGCGACAGCGUGGGGAGCAAACAGG